rnacentral:rRNA from 1 species
AUUGAACGCUGGCGGCAUGCCUUACACAUGCAAGUCGAACGGCAGCACGGGGCAACCUGGUGGCGAGUGGCGAACGGGUGAGUAAUGCAUCGGAACGUACCUUUCAGUGGGGGAUAACGUAGCGAAAGUUACGCUAAUACUGCAUAUUCUGUGAGCAGGAAAGCAGGGGAUCGCAAGACCUUGCGCGGAUUGAGCGGCCGAUGUCAGAUUAGCUAGUUGGUGAGGUAAAGGCCCACAAAGGGGACGAUCUGUAGCGGGUCUGAGAGGAGGAUCCGCCACACUGGAACUGAGACACGGUCCAGACUCCUACGGGAGGCAGCAGUGGGGAAUUUUGGACAAUGGGGGCAACCCUGAUCCAGCCAUGCCGCGUGAGUGAAGAAGGCCUUCGGGUUGUAAAGCUCUUUCGGCCGGGAAGAAAUCGCACGGGCUAAUACCCUGUGUGGAUGACGGUACCGGAAUAAGAAGCACCGGCUAACUACGUGCCAGCCGCCGCCGUAACAC